rnacentral:rRNA from 1 species
UACGUAGGGGGCAAGCGUUGUCCGGAUUUAUUGGGCGUAAAGAGCGUGUAGGCGGCUAUACAGGUCCGCUGUGAAAACUCGAGGCUCAACCUCGAGACGUCGGUGGAAACCGUAUGGCUAGAGUCCGGAAGAGGAGAGUGGAAUUCCUGGUGUAGCGGUGAAAUGCGCAGAUAUCGGGAGGAACACCGGUGGCGAAGGCGGUUCUCUGGGCCACUACUGACGCUGAGAAGCGAAAGCAUGGGGAGCGAACGAGGAUUGAUAUACCC